UGUAUUUCCGCCGGCGCGAAACGAGCGUAGCUUCCUUGUCGUGUGGCCUCAGUCCUUCGCCGUCCCUCGCCGUCCUUCGCCAUCGCACGCCACCGCACCCCAUCUCUCGAAAUCUGCAGACAUCUUGAUUUUUCCCACGCUGUCUGUCAGGUCUCCGCCGCCACUCGACGCCAGGGCGCCGGGCCUUGUGGGCUGUGCUGCACCUCGGACGGCUUCGCACCAGCCAGCGCCCUCUCUCUCCUGCAGCACUCUGAUCUGCACCCCCUGAGGGGCUUCCACUGUCCGCGGGGUGAGAAUGCCCCUGGGAGUGUCACAUGACUGCCGCCCCAUGUGUGUGAGAGGCGUCCUCUGGGAGAGCAUGGAUCCUGAGGUCCCAGGAACAUCCCGAGAGCCAAGUUCCCAGAUGCCAGCCAAGGGCCAUCUGACCUGUUUUGAAUCUCAAUUUCCUGAUACAGAAAACAAAGGAUUGUCAGCUGACCUCUGUCCUGUGUGCCCAGUGGCCCCAGGUGACGUGUCUUCAAGAAGAGGCUGAGCUGCGGUGCUUGUAAGAGUCAUGUGCUGUUCCUGGGGCUUGGAUGAUGUAGGGGAAGCAAGGUGAAAGUGGUAUCCCGUGGUUCCACGUUCUGUCCUGCUGUGGGGCUGUCCCUCACAUGCUUUCAGUGGCUGUUGCAGAGGAAGAGCCUCCGGAAAUCUGCGUGGGUAAAGUCUCAGCCUUAGAUCCAAGGACAGUCCAAGGAAGUCCUAAGACCAUGGAGUUGGUGAUCUGGGAUCUGGGUUUGCUGAUAUUUCUCACCGUGAAUCUCUUGGUGGUGUUUGUGGGCACGAGAGGGGCAGAGAAUGGAGAGUGAGGCUACCACAUGAAGCGUCACCAGAGCUGCUCCCUGCUGCCUGCUCAGAGCACCCCGGAUCCACUGUUCAAUCUGCACAAGAUUCGGGGUCCAGACAUGGGAGACUUCAGCUGCCUCAGAGGACCGUGGACAGGGAAGGCCAGCCUCGCAUCCCUCUGUCCAUGCCUGGAAUGACUUUAAUAACCAAGAGUUUUAUUUUUGAAUUUGUAGCUGUCGUUCACUUUUUACCCACCCAUUCAAUAAACCUUACAGAAUUGCUCCAU
rnacentral:lncRNA from 1 species